UGCGUAGGCGGAUUGAUAAGUCAGUGGUGAAAACCUACAGCUUAACUGUAGAACUGCCAUUGAUACUGUUAGUCUUGAGUACGGUCAAGGUAGGCGGAAUGUGUAAUGUAGCGGUGAAAUGCUUAGAUAUUACACAGAACACCGAUUGCGAAGUCAGCUUACUGGACCAUUACUGACGCUGAGGCACGAAAGCGUGGGGAGCGAACAGGAUUAGAUACCCUGGUAGUCC
rnacentral:rRNA from 1 species